rnacentral:rRNA from 1 species
GAUGAACGCUGGCGGCGUGCCUAAUACAUGCAAGUCGAGCGAACAGACGAGGAGCUUGCUCCUCUGACGUUAGCGGCGGACGGGUGAGUAACACGUGGAUAACCUACCUAUAAGACUGGGAUAACUUCGGGAAACCGGAGCUAAUACCGGAUAAUAUAUUGAACCGCAUGGUUCAAUAGUGAAAGACGGUUUUGCUGUCACUUAUAGAUGGAUCCGCGCCGCAUUAGCUAGUUGGUAAGGUAACGGCUUACCAAGGCAACGAUGCGUAGCCGACCUGAGAGGGUGAUCGGCCACACGGGAACUGAGACACGGUCAAGACUCCUACGGGAGGCAGCAGUAGGGAAUCUUCCGCAAUGGGCGAAAGCCUGACGGAGCAACGCCGCGUGAGUGAUGAAGGUCUUCGGAUCGUAAAACUCUGUUAUUAGGGAAGAACAAAUGUGUAAGUAACUAUGCACGUCUUGACGGUACCUAAUCAGAAAGCCACGGCUAACUACGUG